UACGUAGGGGGCAAGCGUUGUCCGGAUUUAUUGGGCGUAAAGAGCUCGUAGGCGGCUUGGCAAGUCGGGCGUGAAAACUUCAGGCUCAACCUGGAGCGGCCACUCGAUACUGCCAUGGCUUGAGUCCGGUAGGGGACCACGGAAUUCCUGGUGUAGCGGUGAAAUGCGCAGAUAUCAGGAGGAACACCAAUGGCGAAGGCAGCACUCUGGGACGGUACUGACGCUGAGACGCGAAAGCGUGGGGAGCAAACAGG
rnacentral:rRNA from 1 species